rnacentral:misc_RNA from 1 species
GAUGAAGAACGCAGCAAAAUGCGAUAAGUAGUGUGAAUUGCAGAAUUCAGUGAAUCAUCGAAUCUUUGAACGCACAUUGCACCUCUCGGUAUUCCGGGAGGUAUGCCUGUUCGAGCGUCAUUUGUACCCUCAAGCUCUGCUUGGUGUUGGGUGUUUGUUCCGCCUCUGUGUGUGAACUCGCCUCAAAACAAUUGGCAGCCGGCGUACUUGUUUCGGAGCGCAGCACAUUUUGCGAUCCAGAUCAACGUACAGCGGCAUCCAAGAAGCCUUAUUUAACGCUCUUGACCUCGGAUCAGGUAGGGAUACCCGCUGAACUUAAGCAUAUCAAUAAGCGGAGGA